rnacentral:rRNA from 1 species
AUACCACAGGGGGUAUAGCACUUUUUCGCUAGGGGCUCAUCCCGACUUACCAACCCGAUGCAAACUCCGAAUACCUGUGAGUACUAUCCGGGAGACACACGGCGGGGGCUAACGUCCGUCGUGGAGAGGGAAACAACCCAGACCGCCAGCUAAGGUCCCCAAGUACCAGUUAAGUGGGAAACGAUGUGGGAAGGCUCAGACAGCUAGGAGGUUGGCUUAGAAGCAGCCAUCCUUUAAAGAAAGCGUAA